UCCCUGGUGGCUCAGAGGUGAAAGCGUCUGCCCGCAAUGCAGGAGACCUGGGUUCAAUCCCUGGAUCGGGAG
rnacentral:tRNA from 1 species